ensembl:lncRNA
GUUUUCCCAGAUAGGUUAGUGAUGAGCCGAUGACCCACAUUUAAAAUGAGGUUAUGGCUUAUCAGGGUUUUAUCUGAAGUAUCAGGGUCCUGGAAAGCUCUAACAAGCCUAUCUCUAAUAUUUUUUCCUCUCCUGUAGUUUAUCAUAGGUGGUUCUUUGAAGGUCCCUAAUAAGGUCCUAAUGUUUUCAAAUUAUGUCUUUCAUGUUGCUGGUUUUUGGUGUGAAGGUUGUACAAAAGACAAGGUUAGGUUUAAGUUUGGGAGAUUUCUUAGUUUCCUGCUUACAGAAGUCACCUUCUGUUCUGCAGAUCUUAACCAGUCCUCUCUGUUUUUCUUUAAAUUUGUUCGACAUCUCUUCUUUACCAUCAUUGUAUUUCUCUGGAAUUUCACAAAAACGUUUGAGUCUAAUCAGUUGGCUUACAGGUUGGCUUUUUUUGAGGUGGUUCGGAUGGAAACUUGUGGUAUGAAGUAAUGUAUUUCGGAUUAACAGUCUGUCAACAAAAGGCUUGAAUGGAUCAUGUCUGGGCUCCAGCGAGCAUUGUGCCCCAUCGGUGGUUCAGUGUUAGCUUUAGGCAGGCUGAUUUUCAAUAAAGUUUCACACUGACUGUGUGUGUGUGUGUGUGUGUGUGUGUGGCUGCAGUGUUGGGUCCUGAGAAAGCCUGUCCUGGGAGUCCUGAGAGAGAUCUGACUGAUCAAACUGUUUAAGGAGAAACUAUGUCCAUCAGUAUAUUUCAUACAUUAUUUUUUAAUUUUUUUAUUUUUUCUCGAAGUGACAUCAGAAACAGCAGCAUGUGACAUCACGUGAUGGCGGAGCUUCAGUUCAUCCUUUGUCAUCCUUUUUUUUUUUUUUUUUUUUUUUUUUUAAUAGGACAGGGGGAAAGAAUGAAAGAAAGAGGGGGAGAGGAAGAAAGAAAACCAAAGGGGAGAAGAGACGGUGAGAAGGGGGGGAAGAGAGAAAAAAAAACAACAAAAAAAAACAACUCCUGGGUCACCUGUAUGGAGAGAAAGAAAAACAAAAAAAACAGGGGAGACAGCAAACAACAAAGAGCAACAUAAUAAAAAAAAAAAAAAAAGCACCAUCACAAUAAACUAGCUAGUCAUAGAUAUCAAUAGUUACUAAAUAGUAAACGAUAUUGUGCAGCACGCAAGAUAGACAGCGCACAGUGUGCUUUGAGGCAGCAGCCAAGAAAGCUGUAGUCCGCAUCUGUGAAUACCCAUGUGUACACCUGUGUGCAUACCUGUGUGGAUCAGCAUGCUUGCAUUCCAAAGGUUUCUCCAUGUAAUGAUCUGCUAGAGAGUGUGGGGAGCCACAGCCCUGUCCUCUAUGGUAUCAAGCAGGUAUGGAGGAGAUCAAAACUCCAGACAUCCAGAGGCCCCCAGAACACAAGAGACCAAGGAAGACCCACAGAGGGGCAGCCGCGUCACUGUCAUACAUUAUCUGUCAUAUUAUCAAAGAAAUCAAUAGGUAUAUGCAUUCAGACAGAGACACACACACACACACACACACAUACACACUGCUGAUGGUUCCUAUCGGGUCUGUCUGCCCCUCAGUAAAUACUGUUUCUCAUAAAUAAGAAAAUUAUGAGCUUCAAUAAAUCUGCACAUAAAAUGUUUUUCAUAUAAGGGUGGAACUCUGCAGAGGAGCCGCACUCACACACUCUCACAGACACACUUUACACACUUUCAGUGGGAUGCACAUGUGCAAAGAAAUGAAAAACACUUCACAAACAGCACACACACACGUGCACACCAUUAGCUCUC